rnacentral:rRNA from 1 species
UACAGAGGGGGCAAGCGUUGUUCGGAAUUACUGGGCGUAAAGGGCGCGUAGGCGGCCGCCUAAGUCAGACGUGAAAUCCCUCGGCUCAACCGGGGAACUGCGUCUGAUACUGGGUGGCUUGAAUCCGGGAGAGGGAUGCGGAAUUCCAGGUGUAGCGGUGAAAUGCGUAGAUAUCUGGAGGAACACCGGUGGCGAAGGCGGCGUUCUGGACUGCAACUGACACUGAGAAACGAAAGCCAGGGUAGCAAACGGG